GAAACCACCACCAAAAGAGAAACCUCCAAUGGAAGAAACUGCCACCCUUGAUGAGGAAACCCUGACCACCUUGGACGGUGGCAAGCCUCCCAAGAAGAAGCCUCCACCAAUAAAGCCACCACCAAAGCACAAGCCUCCAGCAGGUGUUGAGGACGCCCACAAGCCACCCGGUGGUUAUAGCCGUAGGCCGCGGCCACCACCUUCGAACUAAUCAUAAGUAGCCAAGUUCGUCUCAUGGCAUAUGCAGAACGUGGUGUACUAGAAUAAGAGCUUGUAUUCAAUCAGUUGGUCAUGACUACUGCAAUUUCAUGCUAUCAAUAACGUCUCGUCAUGUAAUUCACAGUCAUGCAGUCUGGCCUACUAGAUCUCGGGCAAGUUAAUGUGCAUGAGACAUGUGUGUAUCCAUCUUCUGAGUGUUGUAAACUUAAAUAUAAGUGGUUCGCUCUUUAUGUUAUUAACUUCUUCUCUCGCAUAAUUGUAGGUGUUUCAUAGCAUUGACAUGGGCACACGCCAGUCGUUGAUAAUAACUUUCAUCUCAUCCUCAUGUGAUUAAAUGCUCACGGCACGGUUGGCCAAAAAUGUCUAAAAGCACUCUAUUCAAAUAUAUACUCUCCUCACUUUUCUCUUUCAGUUUACACCAAAAACUUAGCUAAGUCCACGGCGUAAUACUGAUUCAAAUAAACGUGUAACCUGUACAAGGUGUGACCAUUGGUGGGGCACCGACACGUAAGCCUUUAUCAAUGGCUAUACCGAUCGCAAGAACUCCUGUCGAUGGCUAUGCUUAUCAAUGACCAUGAUCAGUUAUUGACAUAGAUAGUGGUUGGUUGCCGAUUAGCAAAAUUGGCUGAGGAAGAUGGUGAUUGAAAGGUGUAGAUAAACAGUCAAAUGAUUAAUCACUCGAAAUUUAACCGUUCGACAAGUAGAAGUGGAAGAUCAUGAUGCGAUUAUAAAGAAAAACUACCCAUGGAUGGAAAAUCGUGGUAUAUGGAGCUGGAAAUUUCGGAGAUGUGAAAACAUAGCCAGAUCCGCUGGAGAUCUGAUUACGGAUAGUUAUGUUGCGAGUACUGUAAAUACCAGUGUUUGUCUACUAUAAGCCUCCCCUUGCCCACAUAUAAAACAAACAAAUCUUCUUAUCUUUCAAUUAUAUUUCAAUUCCUAUAUCAUAGUCCUAGCUGUAAUUUUGAGAUAUCUCAUAGUCAGUUAAAUUCAGGCAUGUAUUUUAGCCGUCUCUGUUGGAGAAAUCCUCUUGAAGUGUUUUGAAGUUGACAAAACGUUUCCAUCAGUCUAGUCUGAAGACUUGCAGACUCUGCUAUUUAAAGUCUAAAGACCUCCGAACAGCCAGACUCGAGACUCAAAGUCUAUCCUCAUUGACAGUUUCUAAUCCGUUGAAGAAAAGCUAUCAAGAACUGGAUGUUUCAUUAAGCAUGUGGCCUUAUCGACUGGAGAAGAUCUCUUGGCUGGAUAUAACAUAACGGAAUCCUUUAUUUGAUCAUAAUUGAUUCGAAGAUUAAGGAUCCGAUGAUUGGCAAAGUAUACUUGGAAGGUUCUACUUAUGGAAACCGAGAUCCUGAUUGUAUGGAUGAACAGGAUUGAUGGGUUAUCGACAUGUUCCUUUAAUAGCUCGAAUGAUUUUCCUAAUUGAUUCCGUCCAACGGGUAGAUUGGAGAAAUUCCUUUGGUAAGUGCCAAUGGGUAUGAUGGCAUGAAGGAGUAUAUAAGGAAGACGUUCCAGUUGUUCGAGUGUGUGCACGAUAGAAGAAUUCCAAAAUCUGAAGCUCCUUGUUCUUAGUCAAUUCAUUUGUUGAGCAAAAUCUUGUAAACAAAAGAGAGUCUAUAUUAGUGAGAAACCUUGAGGAAGUGUGGUAGAACAUCUACACUGUGGAAUCAAGGAAAAUCUGUGCUGUAACUUCUCUUUUGUUCAUAGUGAAAUCCAGCCGGUGGGCUGUCAAUGCGGAAGAGUGGACGUAUGCUUGGAAUAAGCCGAACCACUAUAAAUCUUGUGUUCAAUUUUCUCUUCCCUAACCUUUACUUUACUUUGAUCGUAUUUUCUUUUCUAUCGUUUGCCUAGAAUCGCUUCCGUAUCUCGAGAAAUUGUUUGUGCACCUAUUCACCCCCAUCUAGGUGCUUAUACUAGCUAUCUCAGUCUCAUCAUGUUUUAGCUAUUGUAAUUUGUAAAGUGUACGUGUUUUGGUCCGUGAGUUCGUAUUCUUAUGUUGAUGAAAUGCUUCUCUAAUAUGUAAGCCCAGAAAAGAUGCGCCUUAAUAUAUUCCAACCUUCUAGUGAUAAGUUCGAGCCAUGAGAAGGUUAUUUUUUUAUUUAAAUAUAUAUCAAAUCCAUUUUAAAUUCGACAUAUAGAAGGCUAAUCUAAUUUCGGUCAUCUAAUCGACUAAUUUCUUCAAUUAAAUUGAUCUCUCAUGAAGACUAUCCUAAUUCGAUUGGACAACUACAGUUGCAAAUAAGAAUUGCAGAGCAUUGGAUUAUUUUGCAGAAUUCUGUGUUUGGCUCAAAAUUUUUGCUGUUCAUGAUGUAUUAAAGAAACUACAUUGAAAUAAGUCAUGUUAGGGAAGAGUAUAAUUUAACAUGCUUUCUCUAGUUCUUCCUUUUCUAAGUUUGAACGUAAUAAGUGAUAAAAUCUUGAUAUACUUUCUCUUUACCCAUCUUCUAACUUUUAAACUGUACAUAGAGAGAAAAUCGAAAUUGGGAGAUGAUGAAGGAUAAUUGAAAACGUUUUCUUUAAUUUAUUCUUUUGUUAAGGUUUAAAGUCAAUAAAAUACCAAAUGUUCAUGUAAUUUCUCUUGAUGACAAAUCAUUUGUCCCGCCCACACCUAUUGAAGGAUAAAAAGAUCAGCAAAAUUUUAUCCUCUUGCCAUUUACAAUAACCAAACAACACUCUUAUAUAGGAAAAAACUCAUUCACAUAGCGACAUAAAUGAUUCAACAGCAUGCAAGGAUCUUCCCACAGAUGAAGUAUUGAUUCUCCCAGAGCGUCCUAACUCUGCUUGAUGCCUAAUUUGCGUUAGAAUCGCAAGAAUCUUCACUCUUCAAAAGCGAAAAGUAUAUCUGCACACCUAAAGCCUUCCAUAGAUAAAAAGCUAAAGUUGCUACCCCUUACCUCGGGUAGAAUCAACAAACUUACUUUGCUAGUUGUACAAGGUUCUGAUAGAUGUUGUCCAAAUCGUUUUUUUGCGUAAUUUUGUGAGCUUUUGUUUCGAUGGAGGAGCAUCAUCCUUGUGGCCAGGCUCUAACAGUUAUAGCGAAUGGUGAUGGUGAAUGGCUCUGAGGCAAGCAAAUGAGAGCUCGGUAAUGGAGCAAGUUUCACUCACCAAGUUCUCUAGGAUGCUCGUGCAAGGCCCUCAUCAAAAUCUAUAAAAGCAAUGUGAUAUUGUAUUUGUACAAUCGGCUUUCAGGAUCAUCAUACAAUUACACAACUGCAACGAGACUACUGGCAUGACAUGCAAAUUUUGUUGAGCUUGCUUUAGGUGCAUUUUCAGUGCAUAGUUUUUUGCCUAGCAUGGCAUCUCCGCAUAAUACUUUAUGAACAAGAUUCUACAAAAGAGUAAGGAUCACGCCUGACAACACGAUGGAUCUAAAAUCGCGAGGAGCCAUCACUAAUCAUUAAGGAAUCCAAGAAGAAGUUAGAUCCAGGAUGACAGCAUCGGAUCCAUGCCCACCCCGAAGAAAAGAAGAAAGGGUGCACCAUAUGAUCAAUCUUGUGAUGAAGAGAGAGCCCCAAAGCAGGUAAUUGAGGUCAAAGCAAAAUUGGAGGUUCAUCCCAUCUAAUGGGCUCUCACAUGCCACAAGCCAAAGUAAAGGGGUAAAAUUAUCCCAAUCAGUCUUAUACUUAUUGUAUGGAUAUUAAUUCAAUUUUAAACUUUUCAAUUUUGUUAAUUUAGUCCUAAGUGUUUGCACAAAAAUCUAAUAUUAUCCUUCCGGUCAAUUUUUACCUAUUAAUAUCUCAAUUUUGACAACCAAAAUUAGUCACUUAUUGCAUAGGAAAAAUUAGGAGUUGGUCCCGAUCUCUAAAUGAAAUAAUUGGCAUUGCAUAAUUUUUUCAUUCUCAUUGCUUUUAGUAGAUAAUAUGUCCGUAUGGAGUGUCAUCUUAGACAAGAUCACUAAUUUCCAUCAGCCAACUCGUCAUGUGACUGGUCCUAAUUUUUUCAUACGCAAAGUGUGAUUCAGGCUCGCGUUUUCAACUGCGCCCAAAACAUUGGGGCAACUGAAAUUGACAUGACAGAAGGAAAGACAUAAGCUUCGAGAAAAAAUCCCAUGGAAUCUAUGUGGACGUUCCCCCACAGAGGAAGAGGAUGGUAAGAAAAGAUGAGGGAAAUAGAGAGAGGCUGGUUCUUCUUUGUGACUACCAUUGCCUUGCCGUCGCGCAUCGCACACUGUCGCCACCCCCUUGCUGAGUUCCCGCCAUCCACUGCCCUGACGUCCGACUGCUAUUGCCAUUGACUCACCCACCUAGCUUCGUGGCCGACGAAGCCUCCUCCCACUUCGCCAUCAAUGCCCACCAAUUGCCCAACGCUCCCAGCUUCCCUGGGACGCGCAGUGCUGCUGCGGGCUCCUGCACUCAUCACUUGCUUAGCCGUAAUUAAUAACUGCUAAACCUGUCUCCUCACUCCUCACAAGCCCAGCAGCCUUGCCAUGCCUCAUCUCAAUCCUCGAGACUGUUGAGUAUAAAGGAACAAAAUAUGCUGUAGAAGAACGGAAACAGCACGUGUUGAAAAAACAGAAACAGAGGACUUGGCAAUACAGCAAAAGCAGAGGACUUGGCGAUACAGCAAAUGACUUGGAUCGCCAAGUCAUAAGAUUUAAUCAACGGCAAAGAUCUUAUAAGGAAGACCAGCCUAGAUCGACAUCAAUGAAUGAGAUGCUCAAAUAAUAAAUGACUUGGAUCACUAAGUCAUAAGCGUAGUCAAUUAGGCUUUUCUAUUAAGUAGUUGCUGUAUUCGGUUUUCCCUUGUAACCGAGUUUUGUUAAAUUCUUAGAUAUAAAUACUCUUCUUGCUUUACAUAAGAAGAUAUAGAAAAACAGAUAGAGGGGAAAAGAGAAGAGAAAAGCAUAGAGAAAAGAGAAUUUGGAUCAUCAACAAAUGCUGAGCAAUCUCUGUAUUGAAGAAGAAGAUUCGAAGAAUAGUUGACAGCUGAAGAUCAAAGUGCUGAAGCAAAUCAAGUAAGAUUGUUCUUAGAAGAUAGAACAGAGGAAUUGUAUUCUUUUCUGUUUCAAUUGUACAGAGUUACAAUGAUAUAAUCACCAUACUGGAAUACAAAUGUUCUUCAGAGUCGACCGCUUGAUCUUGUUUGAGUUCUUCAUCUUUCUCAUGGUAUCAGAGCAGUAGGUUGAUUGUCUGAUAGCUUGUUUUGAACUGGAAGUUUGUGGCAAUGGCAAUAAAAACACCAAAAUAUCCUUUUCCAAUCCACGUAAACAUUUAGAAUUUUGUCACAAUCAAGCUCGCCGAAGAUAAUUUUCUGUUGUGGCAAGCUCAAAUCCAAAGGUUUCUGAAGAGUCAAGACCUCUUUGGUUUUGUUAAUGGUGAUGUUAUUUCUCCUCCACGAAUGUUGCAAAAUGAUGAUGAAGGAUGUGACUCAGAACUUGUUAAUCCUGAUUACGCUGAUUGGACAAGAGCAGAUCAGUUGAUAUCAUCAUGGAUUAGUGGGGCUGUUACUGAGAACAUUUUGAGUCUAAUCAUUGGUUUAGAGACAUCCUUUGAGGUAUGGCAGUCUCUUCUAAAACGAUUUACACAAAAAUCAAUAGCAAAGGAGUUCGAACUUAGAGGAAAAUUACAGUCCUACCAAAAACUUGAUCAAACCCUCUCUACUUAUCUCAGAGAAUACAAAUCUAUAUGUGAUCAGUUGAAUGCUAUUGGUAAACUAGUGGAUGAAAUAACCAAAAUCUUUGGUAUACUGGAAGGAUUGGGUCCAGAAUAUGAGAAUCUUCGAACCACCAUAUAUUGUUUGAAGCCUCAACUCGAUUAUGAUGAAGUUAUAGCUCAACUGGAGAGAUUUGAAUCAAGGAUGAAGACUUAUUCCAGAAGUCAGUUCAAUCCCAGUUUGGCCUAUCUCGGGCAAAGAAAGUCUCAAAUGUACCCUAAAGAGAAUGCUAAUGGAGAAUACCUUUCACAAACUUCUGGUUUUCUAGCUCAGAGAGGAAGUUAUAGGGGUGGCCGUAGCUUUGGUCGAGGCAGAGCUAUUAGUAAUAGAGGACGAGGUUUUGGUUAUGUUGAAAAAAAAAUCAGAAUUACAGAGAAGAUGCAGCAAUUCAAGGGCAAGGAGAUCAAUAUCUAAGACAAAGGAAUGUCUUCUCUACAGCUACUCAGGGAUUUCGACCUUAUGCCACAUACUCUCAAAGGUAUCAAAACAACAAAUCUUAUCCCCCUCUUCUAUUAAACUCAAGGAAAAGUUUGCAGGAUGAGAAAGACACAGGGGUUGCUAGAUUGGAAUGUCAAAUAUGUAAACGACCUGGGCAUGAUGCUCUCCGCUGUUGGUAUCGCUUUGACAAUUCCUAUCAAGUAGAGGAUAUUCCAGCAGCUCUGACAGCAAUUCAUAUCGAAGAUCCAAAAGGAAGUGAAUGGUACCCUGAUACAGGAGCUACUGCUCACAUCAGUGCGAAUCCUGGUAUUCUUCAAACUCUUUCUAAAUAUCAAGGUCUCGAUACAGUGAUGGUUGGAAAUGGAUCUUGUUUACCUGUUACACAUAUUGGUAACACUUACCUAAAAACAGAAGUAAAUACAUUACCUCUUAAUGAUGUUCUUAUAGUACCAGAAAUAAAGAAGAAUCUUCUUUCUAUGUCUAAACUCACUGAUGACUAUCCUUGCACAUUUAUCUUUGAUAAACUUGGUGUUUAUGUAAAGGACAACAAUACCAAGGUGACAAUUCAGCUCGGAAGGAAGACUAAGGGCCUUUAUCAAGUCGAUACACGGACUGCAGCAGCCAUUUUCACUCAAAGACAGAGAACAGUCAAUGCAGAAAUAUGGCACCAAAGACUGGCUCAUGCCAAUACACAAAUAGUGGAUCACCUACAUCAUCAGAAACUGAUUCAUGUUAAUUCAGUUUCUUCAAAAAUCUGCAGCAGCUGUCAAAUAGCAAAAAGUACAGCUCUAUCAUUUCCUUUGUCAAACUCUAUAUCAACUUCGUCAUUAGAAAAGAUCCACUGUGAUAUUUGGGGGCCUUCACCAGUUGAUUCAUUUCAAAAGUUUAGAUACUAUGUGAUUUUUGUUGACAGUUUCUCACGAUAUAGUUGGUUAUAUCCAAUGAAGUUGAAAUCUGAGUUCUUUGAUAUCUUUGUUCGAUUCCAGACGUUAGUUGAAAGACAAUACAGUCACAAGAUCAAAAUUUUCCAAAGUGAUGGAGGAGGAGAGUUUGUAAGUAGGAGAUUUCAAAAACAUCUGCAAAGCUGUGGAAUAAAACAACAUCUAUCUUGUCCUCACACUCCCGAACAGAAUGGAGUCUUAGAAAGGAAACAUAGAAAUAUUGUUGAAUUAGGAUUGGCUAUGAUAUAUCACUCCAAGGUCCCACUGAAGUUUUGGGUGGAUGCUUUUGUUACAGCAAAUUACAUUGUAAACAGACUUCCAACACCAAAACUAAAAAUGGAUACACCCUAUAGUAAGAUUCAUAACACUCAACCACAAUAUGAUCAUUUGAGGGUGUUUGGUUGUGCCUGUUAUCCAUGCUUAAGAUCAUAUUCAAAACAUAAGUUCGAUCCUAGAUCCCUUACCUGUGUUUUUCUGGGAUAUAGUGAUUUGCAUAAAGGCUAUAGAUGUCUUGUGCCUACUGAUAAUCGUAUAUAUAUCAGUAGACAUGUGAUCUUCGAUGAAACAUUGUUUCCCUUCACAAAAACUGUGAUCAAUGAGUAUGGUCAAUAUACUCCUUUGUAUAGACAGUGGAUUGAAGGAGUAAAAUUGCUCGAAUCCUCAAGCACUGACACAACAAGCAAAAGUAUUUCCCAUCAGUCAGUAAGAAGAAGUCAGUAUCAUCCUAAUAUGGAUAGUUAUGACAGUGAACAGAUGCACCAACAUACUUCAUCAGCAUCAAUGCAGCUUCAAGAUACUCCAUUAACACCAAGGCAGAAUGAUGCUAUCACAGAAACUCGAUCUGGUCAGAGUUCUUCAUCUUUCUCAAGUACUCUGCCUAUCAAUAACAGUCCUGACAUAGAACAACAUACUCUUGAUCUAUCUUCUUCUCAGAGAAAUUUUGGUAAUCAUCCUAUGCAGACCCGACUCAAAUCAGGUAUUAUUAAGCCAAAUCCAAAAUAUGCUUGCUUGGCUGAGUAUCGAGUUCCUAUGGAACCAAGAUCCAUCAAGUCAGCAUUAGCUGAUAAGGGUUGGCACAAUGCAAUGCAAGAAGAGAUGAAUGCUCUGUUUGAUAAUCAUACCUGGACAUUGGUUCCAAGAACAGACCAGAUGAAUGUUGUAGGCUGUAAGUGGGUCUUUAAGACCAAGCUCGCACCAGAUGGUAGUCUAGAAAGACUCAAGGCUCGUUUGGUAGCCAAAAGAUUCCAUCAGGAAGCAGGACUUGACUUUACUGAGACAUUCAGUCCUGUUGUGAAACAUGCUACAGUUCGCAUAGUACUCUCUGUAGCUCUCACAAGACAAUGGACAAUACAUCAACUUGAUGUGAAGAAUGCCUUUCUUCAUGGAGACUUAAAUGAAACUGUUUAUAUGGAACAGCCACCUGGCUUCAUUCAUCCUCAAAAAUCAAGCCAUGUCUGCCUUCUUCACAAGUCGUUAUAUGGACUUCGACAAGCACCAAGAGCUUGGUUUGACAAAUUCAGCAACUUCCUUCUUGAAAUUGGUUUUUUCUGUAGUACAGCCGAUCCAUCUUUGUUUGUGCUCCAUACUGAGUCGGAUACAGUGUUAUUGCUUCUUUAUGUUGAUGAUAUCAUUCUAACAGGAAGCUCUCCUCAACUCUUAACUGCAUUAAUCCAGAAUCUUAGUCUUCAUUUUCAUAUGAAAGACCUUGGAUAUUUUCACUACUUCUUAGGUAUUGAAGUUAAACGUACUUUACAGACCUUGUUCUUAUGUCAAACAAAAUAUGCAGUCGACCUACUCAAACGGGCACAUAUGACAGAUUGCAAACCAAUUUCUACACCUUUGCCACUACGGUCAAUUGCUAUGGCCAAUGCUGAAGUUCCUCUGCUAGAUCCUAUUGAAUACAGAAGCUUGGUAGGUGGUCUUCAAUACUUGACUAUCACUCGACCAGAUCUAGCAUUUGCAACAAAUCUCCUCUGUCAGAAGAUGCAACAUCCCACAAUGGCAGAUUUUCAUCAAUUAAAAAGAGUUUUACGAUAUGUCAAAGGAACUGUUCAUCUUGGAUAUUAUCUUCAUUCCAACAGUUUGACAAAUCUCUAUGGUUUUUCAGAUGCUGAUUGGGCAAGUUGUCCUACUACUCGACGAUCUACUAUAGGAUUCUGCACUUUCUUAGGUUCUAAUUUGAUUUCCUGGUCAACCAAGAAGCAAUCUACUAUUUCAAAGUCUUCCACAGAAGCAGAGUAUCGGGCUCUAGCAUCUACAACAGCUGAAUUAACCUGGAUCAGUUUUGUUCUACGUGAUAUUGGUAUUCCUCUUGCACAAGCUACAUCAUUGUUUUGUGACAAUAAAUCAGCUAUUUCCCUCACAGCCAAUCCUGUUUUGCAUGCGCGAACAAAGCACAUAGAAGUUAAUUUCCAUUUUGUUCGUGAAAAGGUGUCUUCUGGUUCCAUUUCUAUCCAACAUGUUCCAAGUCAUCUUCAAGUAGCUGACAUAUUCACUAAGUCACUCUCCCACUCAGCUCAUCUGUCUCUUCGCACCAAAUUGGGAAUGGGAUUCCUCCCCCUUCCCAAUUUGCGGGCGGAUGUUAAGUAUAAAGGAACAAAAUAUGCUGUAGAAGAACGGAAACAGCACGUGUUGGAAAAACGGAAACAGAGGACUUGGCAAUACAGCAAAAGCAGAGGACUUGGCGAUAAAGCAAAUGACUUGGAUCGCCAAGUCAUAAGAUUUAAUCAACGGCAAAGAUCUUAUAAGGAAGACCAGCCUGGAUCGACAUCAAUGAAUGAGAUGCUCAAAUAAUAAAUGACUUGGAUCACUAAGUCAUAAGCGUAGUCAAUUAGGCUUUUCUGUUAAGUAGUUGUUGUAUUCGGUUUUCCCUUGUAACCGAGUUCUGUUAAAUUCUUAGAUAUAAAUACUGUUCUUGCUUUACAUAAGAAGAUAUAGAAAAACAGAUAGAGGGGAAAAGAGAAGAGAAAAGCAUAGAGAAAAGAGAAUUUGGAUCAUCAACAAAUGCUGAGCAAUCUCUGUAUUGAAGAAGAAGAUUCGAAGAAUAGUUGACAGCUGAAGAUCAAAGUGCUGAAGCAAAUCAAGUAAGAUUGUUCUUGAUAAUGCUAGUACGAGUACCUAGAGGGGGGUGAAUAGGUUUAUGAAAAUUUUCUUGAAGAUUGCACAAUACUUAGACAGAUGAAGUAUUAAAAAAUCAAUCGUAAGACUGAGUAAAGGAAAGAGAGAAUUAAACACGAGGUUUAUAGUGGUUCGGCUUGAUUCAGCCUACGUCCACUUCUCUGCACUGACAGCCGAUUGGCUGGNNNNNNNNNNNNNNNNNNNNNNNNNNNNNNNNNNNNNNNNNNNNNNNNNNNNNNNNNNNNNNNNNNNNNNNNNNNNNNNNNNNNNNNNNNNNNNNNNNNNNNNNNNNNNNNNNNNNNNNNNNNNNNNNNNNNNNNNNNNNNNNNNNNNNNNNNNNNNNNNNNNNNNNNNNNNNNNNNNNNNNNNNNNNNNNNNNNNNNNNNNNNNNNNNNNNNNNNNNNNNNNNNNNNNNNNNNNNNNNNNNNNNNNNNNNNNNNNNNNNNNNNNNNNNNNNNNNNNNNNNNNNNNNNNNNNNNNNNNNNNNNNNNNNNNNNNNNNNNNNNNNNNNNNNNNNNNNNNNNNNNNNNNNNNNNNNNNNNNNNNNNNNNNNNNNNNNNNNNNNNNNNNCCAAGAAUGUUUCGUCGACCAUCGGAUCUUUAAUUGUUCUUAGAUAAGAAUCAAAAAAUCCGAAGUGAUUAUCCAACCAAGGGAUCUUUUCCAGAGGAUUGGAUCGAAUCCCCAACCAUAUACUUCGGCUUCGGAUAUCCUUCGCCACUGGAUUAGAAAGACUAUCAGUGAGAAUAAUCUUGAGUCUUGAGUCUUGAGUCUUGAGUCUUGAGACUUGAGAUUACAAAGUCUUGAGACUUUAAACUAUCGAUAUUCAGACUAGACUGAUAGAAAUGUUUUGUCAGCUUCAAAAUAUUCUGGAAAGAUUUCUCCAACAGUUCUUAGAAGAUAGAACAGAGGAAUUGUAUUCUUUUCUGUUUCAAUUGUACAGAGUUACAAUGAUAUAAUCACCAUACUGGAAUACAAAUGUUCUUCAGAGUCGACCGCUUGAUCUUGUUUGAGUUCUUCAUCUUUCUCAGAGACUACGAACCUUUGUCGACAAUCCACAUCCUUGCCCGACAUAUACCAGCCCAUUCCAAGCCGGAUCUCAGCCCACGGCGUCACGUGUGGUGGUAGUCCAAGAGCGCAGAGGCGCUCUCUCAACACUUCCAACAAGUCCGGUAGCUUUUGUUUUCCUAUUGCAGAUUUCCGUGGUGCUUUACUGAUUCACUCCCGCAAACGCCAGCAUCCUCGGUGUCCUUUACGGCCUGAGCAACGCUAGGUCGAUCACCACCGGAUCAGAUUUUCCUUCGGCUCAGUCUGUGGUCCUGUCAAGUUGUUGGCUUGCGCUGCUCCAUCCGAAGCAAUCCAUUUCACUGGUCUCUUGCUCGAUCAUCACCAUUGGUCCUUGCUUCAUUUGUGUUUUCCCUCAUUGGCUACAGUUGGUUUCGUGUAAGGUGAGUUCAUUUUUGUCAUGUUUAUAUGAUGAUCAUUAUAUCAAACAAUGCAUGUUAGUAACUACACUUUAGGUUAUGCUAAUUAUACUUUUUCUUUUUACAUUAGUCAAGGCAUACUAAGGCGUCAGACCUUUAAGGCCAACGGUUUAAGCCCAAUGGUCGGUUCCCUAAUAUCGUCUCAUGCACCAUCCACGAUUUUAAUGUGUGUUUUUAUAUAUGUGAUUGAUUGAAUAAGCUUUGCAGGAAAUAUCUACUAGGGCAAGGCUAUCAUAGAAGAUGGAUCUUUUCCCUUAUUUAGGGCUGUAUUUUCUUGGAGCAGUCUUCGUACCAACCUUUGUUGUACCGAAAUAUUGUCUUUGUAUUUUUAUGAUAAACUUGGGUAAGACGUAUAUUUUGGUACCUCAUGAGAUUUAAUAUUCAUCAUGUAAAUAUGACACGUCACAUGUCACAUACAUCUUUAGAAUUAAGGCACUUUCAUAAUUCACAUUUUAGAGAUUUCAUAGUUAGAGUAUUGCAUGUUAGUUUUGGAAUGCAUGUGGAUUUAGGGUAAUCUAUAGUUUUCAUUAAACAAAAACCAGACAAAAAUUGUUUUUAGAAUCAUAUAGAUUGCAUGUAUAUUUAAAGUUAAUUAGUCUCAUAUCAUUCAUACCAUAUAAUGCACAUCACUUAAAAUUAAUCUUUUGAUAAUCAUAUCAUAUAGAUAGUCUUAGUUGUUAAUUGCAUUGCAUACAUUAUCCGCAUUGCAUAUUUUCAUAUAGCAUGAAAAAUGCAUAUAAAGAAAAAGUUAGCUUUGCCUCGUUUAGUUGUUAGUUAUAUAGCAUUUGUAUGUUAGUUCACGUGUAGAGUCUAAGGUCCUAAACCUUUAAUUUCAAUAAAAGUAGAAUAAAAAUAAUAUUGCAUAUAGAUUGCAUUAUAAAAUUAGUUUAUGGUUAAUUUUAAUUGACUUAGGAUUGCAUACAUACAUUCAAAAUAUGCCUUCUUGCACAUAGGUUUUAGAUUGUAUCUUCAUGUAGUAACUAUUGGAAAAAAAUCCCAAAGUGUUUUUUGAAGAUUUUCAAAACUAUCAUUAGUAUAAUUUACUAUGACAUACUGAUUUUCAGGUUCUGAUUUCGAUUAGAUAAGUUGGACCUUUUAUCGACGCGCCUAUGGUGCUCUUCUUUGAGUUGGCCACUCACGAGAUAACUAGCCUACUGGGUGAAGCCGUUAAAGGAUUUUAAUACAAUAGACUGGAGAAUUCAAUCAGGAAUCGAUCACUCGACCAUGUUAGUCUACAAUGGUCAUUACGGCAUAAUAAAAAAAUCGAUCAAAGAUCGAAAAUAGGUCGAUUCAACUGAGAUGUGUGAUCAAAGUGUGGGUGACUCCACCUGAUUACAAAAUUCUCAUUGAUCGAUACUAGACCGAUUUUCUAUCGUUUUCGGCACCCUAUGUCCGUAUUUGAAACCUCGAGAUUUUCACAAUCACCAAGAGUCUCCAAUGUGUCGAAGAGGUAUGUUGUGACUCAAAGAAAAUCAACCAUGGGUCAAUUGCAUAAAAAUCAUAAAAGGNNNNNNNNNNNNNNNNNNNNNNNNNNNNNNNNNNNNNNNNNNNNNNNNNNNNNNNNNNNNNNNNNNNNNNNNNNNNNNNNNNNNNNNNNNNNNNNNNNNNCCGACCUUCCUCCUUCACCAAAUUCAGUGGACCCAGCUCAUCCACGCAAUUCUCUCUCUCUCUCUCUCUCUUCAAUUGUCUCUUUCGUUCAAUUCUUCCUCGCCAGCUGCCCCACAAUAUUUCUCUCUCUUUUGUCCCAUUUCCAUGGCAGCAAUUCACCGAAGCUGCCACCAGCUUGUCUAUUCCUUUGCAGUCCCCUUUCUAUUCCUUUUCGGUUUUAUUGAAAACGGCAGCAGCCCAUCAACGCCCCCACCAAAGCUGUCCCCACGUCCGUCUUUCCUCUUCGUUUCAUGCUUGUUAGUCAACUAGUCGAACUUCAUCAGCCCGUGACCGUGAUCCACUCAUCGAAAGGCCCAGCACCCGUCGAGCUCUCUCUUCCGCCCAAGACUUUCACGGCCAGUCCAUUUACAGCCCCGUUCCAGCAAGUCCAGCAGCCACAACUCGGCCCAGUUCAUGCCGUUUCAGUCACAGCCUGCACCACCAACCGCGGCUGCCGAACCUAGCCUGAGCUGUGCCCGAACCAGCCAUCGUUGCAGCUCCUUGGGCCCAAAGCUGAAGCCAAAACCAGCAAGGGUUUUGGGCUUUGCGAGGCCAUUUUCAGACCCGUCUCGGCCUCACUUGGUGGUCCCGCUUCGAAGUUUAUUGAGCCCCUCCAUGUCCCCAUCGUUUUGGUCCGAGCGGAUCGUCAAUUAAGUGGGUUUAACUCACUAAUCAUCGCUUAGUAAGUUAAUGACAUUUAAGGAUUGAUUAGUUUAGGUUAAGCAUGGAUUAGGUGGUUAUUUGAUUAGAUUAGUGAUUUAAUUAGCUGAGAUUGCAUGUUAGGUGAUUAGAGUAGUGUAAUUAGAGCCUAGACAAACUCUAGUAUUUAACUAGAGUGGUUCGGUAAUUUUCCGAGCCCAUCUCGGCUUCCAAUUAGGCUUUACGGGCCUAAGUAUGCAUUUUUGCUAUUUAUUGGCAUUUAUUUAUUAUUUUUCGUUAUUAUUUAAUUAUUUAUUUAUUUUUCGGAAAUUAGACCGAGAUAGCCAGUGACAGGAAUUUUAUGCUGAUUGCAAUAGUGUGGUAUGUUUAUUUAAUUGAGCUCUAAUUCAUGUUGAUUUUGUGUGAUUUGUAUUUUGGGAAAUUAUUCCAAAAAUAAUUAAUUUUGGUAAUUAAUUAGAAAAUCACCAGGCGUCGGUUUACAAUGCCAAAAAUGAGUUUAAGGAUUAGUGAAAUUAGUGGGAUUUUCAAGUGUGAAAAUAUUAUAUUUUGGCUAAGGUCAACCGUGUACCCACAUACAAGUAUUUUUUUAUUGGGAAUGAUAAAAAUGAUGAUCUGAUCAUGCGAUCAUAAUCAAUAAUUGUGGCAGCUUUUGAUGAGCUAUAGUAUACUAUAUUGAUAAUUGUGACAGCUUCUGAUGAGUUAUAGUAUACUAUAUUGAUAAUUGUGGUAGCUUCUGGUGAGCAUAAAUAAUAUACUAUAUUGAUAUUUGCGGCAACUUCUGGUGAGCAUAAAUAGUAUACUAUAUUGAUAUUUGCGGCAACUUCUAGUGAGCAUAAAUAAUAUACUAUAAAGUAUUUGAGGCAACUUCCGGUGAGCUAUACUAUCUAUUAUUGGCUUAAAGUAAAUAGUUACAGAUUAUGAUCAGACUUUAUAGAUAGUAUUAAUUGAGAUGGCCGAUGAAUGAUCUUGAUGUCAUGUAAUCAACUGAGUCGAUUAAUCGAUGAUUCGAUAUGGCUGGAUAAAUUUAUUGUGAAGUGAUUGGUUGUGAUAUGAAUUGUACUGAUUUGCAAAAAGGAACUAAGGCUAAGGUAAGUCCUCUGACUCGUGAUUGUGCUUAGAUAGCCCUUUGGGCGUAUUUUCUUCCUAGUCAAGUUUUAGGGAGUUGAACUUACUGAGACGUAGUCUCAUCCCAUUGUGGGAUAUCAUUUUCAGGUCCCUAGUUGACAGUAGUGGAGGACCCAAGGCCCAAAGUUUAGAAGGUGAAACCUAAAAAAUCGGCGAUCUUGUCUAACUAGUUAGUCAUAGGACAAUUCUUUUUUGGUUGAUAGCCGAUCCCUUUUUGUAGGCUUCUAUAUAUAAAUCCGUGUGUUUAUAAAAAUAUAUUUUGUGAAAAAUUGGCCCUACCUUUCUAUCACAUCUUGCUGUUGUCUGGGGAUUUACUAAUUGCUUCCACAUGCGCAUUAAAAUGAAUGGGUCGGCGAUGCGUUCUGAGACGUCAUUAUUAAUCGACUAAGAAGGGAUGGGCACGGGCUCGAAGAUUCGGGACGUGACAUUUACUACGGUAUUUGCAAAACUAUCAUGGAUUACGUGAUAACCACAGUCUGAUUCAUUGGGUGAAGAUCAGUCAUAUAGGUUUUUUCAGUAAACAACACCAAUGGAUCUAAAGAUCAGCAUAUGUCAAUAUUUGCAUAGAUUCUAUUGAUAUCAGGUCAAUAGUGAUGUUUCAACAACAAAGUGUUUGUGGGCUCAUAAAUAUAGCCUACAUAGCAGAGGAAACCAAAAGUCCACAGAGAAUCAGAGAAAAGGCCAUCUGCCAGCCUUGUCAGAAGCUAUAGUGAUAGGACAACGGCAAAAGCUAUUCUUAGGUAAUCAGCAAAUGUUUAAGAAAAAUGGUUGUAUGGAUAGCACUGUCUUUAGACAGCAACACCAGUAGUAAACUCUUAACAGCUUCUUACUACUCCAAAGCAUCUUCAAAGGAAAGAUUGAAUAUAGAUUAAAAGAUAAUAUCUUUGAAUCCACAGGUUAGAGAUGCAAUAUACAAAAGAACAAAAACUGCUUGAAUCUGUGUUCUUAGCAAAAAUAUUUUAUUCAUGUAUUACUUUGAGUGUUGUAAUCUUGUUAUCUUGUCAUCAUGUAAAAGAUCAAGUGUAUCAAUAGAUAGCACUACCUAAAUUCCUAAUAUUGUGAUUUAUCAUCUGAAGGGAUUGGUGUGUGUGCUGUGUAUAACUUAUUGAGCCAAUUAUCACUGCCAUUUAGCCCAACUUGUGGCUAUUAAUUAGGAGGGUGGACAUAGGUUUGAAGAUAACGCCAAACCACUAUAUAUUAUUGUGUGCUGCUAUUUUCCUCUCUCUUUAAUUACAUAAGAACACAGUUUGUUCACAAGUUUUCAAAUUUUAGCUCAAAUUUAUCUUUACUUAGCGUCUACUAAUUUUUGUGAAAAGUUGACAAAGUUUUCAAAGCAAUCUUUUUAUCUCUAGGUUGUAUCGUUAGCUCCUACAAUAACUUGGGUCAUACAUGUUAAUUUAGUUAGUGCAUGAUUAGGAAUCAAUACAUAUUCUUUUAUUUUGUAGACUUUUAGGGUUGUUUGCCUUUUGUUAAUUAAUAAAAGGGAAAAAAAAACAAAAACUGAAUUAGAUUAUACCAUGUAGAUUGUAUUAGUUAGGAAUAUCAAUUUUUUAAACUUCAUAUUGCACUAUUUUUAGAGAGUCACUUGUCAUCUAGGAUUAAAUUUCAUUGACAUUUUAUUUAUAUUUUUUAAUUAAUUUCAUAACGUGUAACCUAGAACUCAUCAUGUAUGUCAUGUGAUCACAUCAUUCAUGCCAUCUAGCCUUUUAAUUAGUGCAGUUUAAUUAGUCAUUUUCACACUUUCUUAAAUUAUGCAUGUUAGUUAAAAGAGAAAAAAAUAUAAACAAAUUUAGAAUAGAUUGAAUGUUUGUUAGUCACUAACUCAUGCACAAUCAUGAAUACCAUUCAUGCAGAAUGUUUGCAUAUUUUCCUAAUUAUAGUUUGCAAAACCUCAUGGUGAUGAAUAGUGAUUUAUAUUUCUCUGUUUAGUGCAUCCACAUUUUUAAAUCUUCUGCAAUCCAUUUACUGCUUUGAUUAAUGGGUGUUACUUUAUUAAUUGCACACCAGCACGAUCAUCCCUCACAUGUUAGUGGGCAUAAGAUAAAAAUUGAUAAAGAUUGCAUGUGAGACAUCUUCGAAAUAAAGAGAAAAUGUACUAAAAUGGCCCUAAAUUAAUCUAGCGUAAUCAGAUCCCCAAAUCCAUUAAUCUUUGGUUUGUCAAAGUAAAAUAUACUCCAACAUUUUGCUUAAAUGUCUAAUCCGCCUAUAAUCGAUUAGUGACUAUCAUGACCCAUCCCUCCAAAGCUAUUACGAUCCCAAGGGAUAGGUUUAGAAGCAUUUGUUUAUAAAGUCAAUUCAAAUGGUUUGUACAAAUGGAAAUCUCAAAUGAAACACCAAACAACCCCUCAAACGGAUGUAAAAUCCGAAUUUUACAUAUGAACGACAACUUCAGAUGAGUUCUCCAAUUAACACAAACUGUGACAUCCCGAAUUUUCAAUAUUGUUUUCAAUUAAAUUAAAUCGGGUCUUUCAUCGACGCACUAUAGUGCUACUCUCAGAGCUGAUCACUGGUGAGAUAACUAGACUAUCUGGGGAAGUCAUUAAGGAGAUUUAACGUAAUAGACUUGAGAAUUUGACCAGGAAUCGGCUACUUGACCGUGCUCAUCUGCUGAGAUCAUUACGACACAAAUAUAAGUCAACUAGAAAUUAGAGAUAGAUUGGUUUGACCAAGAUAUGUAGCUAAACGUAGGUGAUUCCACUAAAUUACAAAAUUCUCGUCAACUGACACUAGACUGAUUUUUCUGUCGUUUUGGUAUCUCCAUAUUUGAAUCUUCGAGAUUUUCAUGACAAACAAGUCCCUAAAAAAACAAUUAUAAAGUUUUAGCCAUUUGACAAGUAAGGAUAACAAUUUUAUAGGAAUGAAGCAAGUUCGAUGUCCUUGGGAAAUGGAUUCCAGAACCCGGGCAAGGAUAAUGUCAACACACUAAUUGGGCUCCUUGGACCAUUAAACGAGCGUCAAAUCUAACAAAAUUAGUAUCAAAAUAAAGUUUAGGGUAUACCAAACAACUUUGUUGAAGAAAAUUUCUCAAGAUUGGCAUCACAUGAAUUUAUAAUAAUUUCAGAACAAGCAAAAGUCAAGCCAGGAAAAUGGAUUUCGCAGAAGCCCUGCAACUUUAGAGAGGUUGGUAAAAAUACCAAAACAAGUUUUUAUUUUCUGAAAAUUUAUGAGAAUGAAGUUUAAUAUUUUCUUAACAAAUCUCAUGAAGACAUCCACAAUGGAUUCAGCAUACACAAAUUUCUAAAAAUCAGAGAAUUCAUGUAUAUCAUUCUAGAAAUAGAGCAUCACAGAAGCAUAUGUCUAUAGUUCACAGCCAUUUGCGUCAUCUAAAAAUGAUCCAUUCGAUCUGAAAUUUCUACAAAACAUACAUAUACAAUGUCCUAUCACUUUUAUGAAGACAUCUAAGGCAAAUUCAUUUUACAUGAAUUUAUAAAAAAAUCACAAUAUCUGCACAGAUCAUUCAGGAGAGACAAAUCACAAUAGCAAUUGCAACGGGAAACACGAUCAGUCUAUGACCCAUCGACCAUACCAAAUGAUACUAAAAUACUUUCAAAUUUUUAUAUGUUGUGAAUAAACUUCAAGAAGACACUGAUUUAAAAUUUGAUCCACAAAAAAAUUGUAUGACAAUGACAAACAACAAAGGUCACCGGAACCGGACACGAAAACAGAACAGGAAAAUUUUCCAGAUUGCUGUUCGGUUUAGUAAAAAAGUUAGACCUAGUAAAUGAUCUUCAAAUCAUACAAACAAUGUAUCAAAAGAAAGCUAAUGAUAUCUCAUACGAAUCCUUAGAAGACCUCAAAUGCAAUCGGAAUCAUUUUCCAGCUCAAAUGAAGAUAGCUAGCAAAUAGGUCAAGUCUGAAACAGAGUUUAAAGAUUUAUGCCUAAAAAACAUGAGUUUAAUUUGACUAAACGAUUCGGAAAUUCUAUGAAAUUUUUACGUGAUUAGAACUAGAUGUAAUUACCAAUCUAGGUCCAAAAUCAUUAUACAAAAAAAUCAUACAAAAACAACAAAUCGAGUAGGUGGGUUAACCUCAACACAUAUUCCAGAACAGAUUGCCCUACUCACGAACAAGUUUUAACAUAGCAAACGAGGUCUGACUUAUGCAUUUAAUACGUCUAUGAAAAGCUCUUGAAACCAGCUUUGAAUCUCAUGAGGAUCUCAAAACCUAUAAACAACAUUAUCAAGCUCAAAUGAAGACGUUUAUUAGAUCAGUCCAAUCAGGCCAUCUGAAUUACAAAAUAGACAAUCAAUCAAGCAGAUCAUCAAUACAAACCAUUCUAAGCUAUCAUCCAUCAUCUAUAGCCAUUCUAAGCUACAAUGAUCAUCAAUACAAUCGUAGAACAUCAUCUUAGGGUCUAGCUUUAGCACCGAUUGCAUAAGGCAAUCUCACUUCAUGCAGCUCAAGAUCGAGAAGUUUACUUUAGUCAAUCUCUAUGCGAAGCACAAUCGAGCUAAGGUCACUGUAAACGGGGCUUAGGACAUGCCGAGGGAGGUCCAACACCAGCUAAGGACACCAGAAUAGCUUCGGAAUAGUCGUUGAAGUUGUUGGAUUACAAAAAAUCGGCGCCAAGCUGAACUGAUCGAGAGAAUUGACCUUGUACAGGGCAAUCUAGCAUCAAACAAGACUUAUAACGACACAAGAUCAACCUCACGGAUGGCGACGGAAUGUCAGUAAGGCUGGAAUUCAUCGAAAAAUCAUCACAAAUCGUCGAAACGAGCGGUUGAAACCAUCAGUCUCAACACUAGCGAUGAACACGAUGAUUGGCGUCCAAAGAAAACUAGGCAAGCGGUCUUGAGGCCGGAUGGCUGUUGUGACCGAUGAUAGGGGUGGCUAAUUGAUAUAGCUAGUAAUAGCACCCAGAGGGGGGUGAAUAGGUGUUUAAAUAAUUUCUCGAGAUAUGAAAGCAAUACUGGACUAACAACAGAAAGGAAGCUCUCCUUUAGUUAACAAAUCGAACUAUGAUCAAAGUAAAGCGGAGAGUAAGGAAGAGAAGAUUGAACACAAGGUUUAUAGUGGUUCAGCUUAUUCCAAGCCUACGUCCACUCUUCUGCACUGACAACCUACUGGCUAGAUUUCACUAUGAACAAAAGAGAUAUUACAGCAUUGCUUUCCCUUGAUUCCACAGUGUAAAUAUUCUAUCACACUUCCUCAAGGUCUCUCAAAGUAUAGACUCUCUUUUGUGUACAAGAUUUCGCUCAGCAAAUGAAUUGACUAAGAAUCAAAGAGCUUCAGACUUUGGAAUUCUUCUAUCGUGCACACCUCGAACAACUGGAACGUCUUCUUUUUAUACUCCUUUGUGCCAUCAUACCCGUUGGCACUUACCAAAUGAAUUAUUCCAAUCCUCCCGUUGGACAGAAUCAAUUAGGAAGAUUAUUCGAGCUAUUAAAGGAACAUGUCGAUAGCCCAUCAAUCUUGCUCGCCCAUACAAUCAGGAUCUUGGUUUCCAUAAGUAGAACCUUCUAGGAAUACUUCAUCAAUCAUCGGAUCUUUAAUCAUUCUUGAUUUGAAUAAAGGAAUCCGUUAUGUCUUAUCUAGCCAAGAGAUCUUCUCCAGUCAAUAAGACCAAAUCCUUAGAGAAGCACUCAGUUCUGGAUAGCAUUUCUUCAACGGAUUAGAAACUAUCAAUCAAAAUAGAUUUUGAGUCUUAAGUCUGGCAGUCCGGAGAUCUUCAGACUUUAAUAGCAGAGUCUGCAAAUCUUCAGACCAGACUGAUAGAAACGUUUUGUCAGCUUCAAAAUAUUCCAGAAAGAUUUCUCCAACACUAAUGAUGAUCAAUGCACUGGUGGACUCACUAGAAGUGGCUCCAACAAGCGGUGGUGAGGGGGUGGUGAAGUGGCGUGGCCGAGCAAGAGAAAGGGGGGAGAGAAUGGAUUUAAAAUUCAAACCCUUGAGAGAGAGAAUGGAUCUAAAAUACAAGCCCCCCUUGCAUUUUGGAGGGAAAAUGGCUUAUAUACCUCCUUGCAAGAUCAAAUCUUAGCCCUUGGAUCAAUCCAAUGGCUAGGAUUCAAUCUUCCUAGCUUAAAUAACUUACUGAGGCACUAAGCUUGCUUAUGACUAAAUGAUAAUGUGUACAUGUCAAUUGGAAGGGCUAUGAUGAACUUUUAAAGAAUGAUCAUGAUUAAUUUUGUGAUUAAAGGGCAAUCGGGGACAUUUUUAUAAUUUCACAUAUCUGAGGGCAAUUUUGUAAUUUCAUUAUGGUGAAUUUGUAAUUUUGUGCAAAAGGGACAUGGGAGAGUCGGCCAUGGCCUUAGCUUGUCAAUGAUGGUUGCUGGCCACCGCAGAUCUAUCAAAAAAUGGCCAAACCGGCCAUUUCUACUAGUGAACAAUCGAAUCGGUCAUAUCAGUCUGAAUCGGUUUUGACUGGUUUGAUCGAUUUUGGCUAGUUUUUGCAAAAUUUUAUGCAAUUUAAGGAAUUCCUAUCCAGUUUGAAAUGAAAAUAAGCUAAUUUGAAGAGGAACGGUCCAAAAUCACCAAUAUUAAACCAACUAAAAUUUUCAAAAACAUUUCAAUUAAUUUUAAUUGGUUUAAUUAAUCCAAGAAUAUUGAAAAUUACACUUAAACUUAAUGCCGUGAAUUUGGAAUUUCUAUGCGAUUAGCGCAAUUUGUGCAACUCCCACCUUUAAAAACUAGAUUGACCAAAAUUGAACCUAAUUCAUAGAAUAAGAUCUCAAUUGGUUUAAUUACUCAUGUUAAUAAUGACUUAAUGCAUCCAAAUUGAUACUAAAAUGGUGGUAUGAACUUUAUGACAAAAUUAGAGCAAGGGCCAAUGAUGAAAUUGAAUGUUAACCCAUCAAAUUAAACCUUGGUCUAGAAUGGCCAAAGAUGACUUUUUGGUUGUUUUGUUAAAAACGAGUAGGAAAUUACCUACAAUUGACAGGCCAAAGAAAACAGAAUGAAAAAUGACACUUUUGCUUUGAGCAAUAGGUUCCGUCAUGAUCAGAUACCUUAAUCUUGAGUUUUUACUUUUAACUAUAUGUUGACUAAAAAUCAAGUGUCAACAGUGAUGACUCUAAAAUGUAAGAUAAGUUACAAUAUUAAAAUGAGUAUCCAAUUGUGAUUGGUAGUGCUUAGAAGAGCAUGUGUGGAGCAUUAUGCUUAGUAAUGGAUUAGUUUUCUAUUGGAAGUUCACCUUCGGGAAAGUCACAACAUCACCUUAAAUUGUUGACGUGGCAAUUCAAUAUUGCUAGUUGUCCUAUUGAUUUCCAAUGAAAAUUUAUUGAAAAGACUACAUUGAAAUUUUAUGCAAAUCUUUAUGACUAAAAUGGUAAAAUUAAGAAUUUUAGAACUGGGCUGACGAUCAUAUAAUAGGUUUAGAACUCCAAUUAAAGAACGUGGUCCUCUUGGGUUAGUGAGGUAUGAAGAAUGUAUUCCUUCCUCCUUUAUAACCCAAUUUAUACUUUCUCAUGAUCUAAAUAUCUGAAAUUGAUCAGUUUAUCUUCCACAUUCUGCGAACACCAACAGAAGCGAAUGGGUAUAGGUUUAAAAUAAUUACAAGUAAGCAGUCUCUCUGAGUUUGAUUGAAAUGAGCUUGCUUUGUAGUUAAUCUGCCAAGGAUCCAAGUUUCACCAUGUGACUCUAAGUUAAACCCAAAUUCAGAGCUCCUUCAAGAUUCCAGAGCCAGAAUCCAAAGUCAUCACCACUUUCUUCAACUGCUCUUUCAAGAAGUUGGAAAUGGAAUGCAUCAUAACAAUGUAAAUAUCAUAUUAGGAAACAUGGGAGUUAUCAUUUCUGUCUAAUGAGUAUCAGAUCAUUAUAUGGGGAAUGAAUCCAAUAAAAAUCUAAGCAAGCAUCAAAGUCAAAGCAAAUACAAUUACCCUCAUAAAAGUAGAUACGACCAAGCAUAGGGUUAAGAAUAAUCCGAAAAGUAGAUUGAAGGAAUUUCUGUAUAUUUCGAUAAUAUCAUAAUGAAGAACACAUCAAUCAUUUAUAGACUUUAUUAGAUAAUUAUAUAAGAUAAAAUAUUAAUCAAAAUAUACAUAAUCAAAUGGAGAAAUACUCGAAAUCUUGAGAAAUAUGAAUAAUCAAUAGAAACAUCUUAAUCAUUUUCAAUAUAAGAAAAUAUCAUAAUUAUAUCUAACAUCCUUUCAAACUCAAAUGUGCAUAGAAGUCAGCUUGAGUCUGGAUUAAAGAAAAAAAUUCCGAAAAAUGCUUAGUCGAUUGCCGGAACGGUUGCCGUUAACACGGCUGCUUACACGGCUAUUAUGGAUUGUCGUGGCUGUUGUGCAAGCUACACGGUCAGAGAUUGUCGUUGCAACAGAAGGCUACUGUCGAGGCACGAGGCGGCUCUAUGUGACAACAAAAUAGGCUGACUGAGGAGCUGAUGUCACCAUAGGACUAUAAGAACAAUGCCCGAAAUCAACGUUGAUUAGACGAUAUUAGGACUUAUUGAGAAAAAAAAAAUCAUAAGAGGCCAGAUCUAGUGUGCCGUGGUGCACUUGGGAGUGCAACGUGGGCACAUUAGAUCGUGUAGCUCUUAUACAAAGUUAAGAAUAAUGCAGAAAAUAGAUUUAUAGGAUCUUUGUAUAUUUCGAUUAUAACUUAGUGAAGAAUACACCAAUCUAUUUAAUUUCUUAAUUUUUAUUUUGUUGUUUCAAUAUUCUCACAUUUUCACGUGACAUGGAGGUUCAAAAACACUAGAAUAGAUAUUGUACAUCCAAUAUUUUCCUGUGGGUCAUCCAUGGAGGGUUCUAGUGGGAUUGGAUGUGUAUAGUCGAUGUAAUAAAAUAAUGUAAGUAUCACAGCGUUGUCUCAUCGAAUAUUCGACAGAUCGAUGCAUUUGGACAAAUAUCAUAUGCUUUACAUGAUGAGUUUGGAGGAAAAAAGUCACGGUUGCUGGAAAAUGUGUGAUUCUCAGAAUCGUCAUUAGCUAUAGAGGUUGUCGUUUAGUUCUUAUUCUUGCAAAUCCCCGCCCCUCGCUCCCCGAGUGUCACGUCUAGAUGAAAACCAAUCCACUGCGACAAGUGAUCGCGACCUCAUAUUUAAUGUUAUCUAGUUAGCUUUAUUUACUUAUAAUAAAUCAUUAUCGUUGCUUAUGGACUAAGCAAAGUCCAAGUCUUGACUAAUCUUCUGUGUAGUGUGAGUCUAAGACGUGAUUCAUCACAUUUUUCUUCGCAAAAGAAAAUUAUAUUCAUUAGUCAAAAAAGAUACUUAAGAAGUACGUAGUCUUCGGGACAAAAUAAAUCUGAAAAAUAGAGUUAAAUCCUGAAAAUAAUAAGGAUCAACGGAGCAUUUACAAAGUUAAGCACACACUCAUUUAAAAAGAAUAAAUCUGUCAAGCAAAAUAAGUGGUGGUAGAUUACCGCAUUUCGUAUCUUUAUUAGUAAUAAGUAACACUGAAAAUUCAUUCUCCAAUAACUAAGACAUUGUCAAUUGACAGUGGACACUUAAGUUCAACUUUCUCUAUACCAUCGUUGUACAGAGACAACCAAAAUAGGUUGAAUAAACAUAGAUUUAACAUGUGGAUGACCAAAUUUUCGUGAUUUAAUGAAACGCCAAGAUUCUUGCGAUCAUCAUUGAAGUUGAAAGUAGAGAACCUAUAUACAAACAAAGUAAAAAGGUAUCAAAUCCCUAAAAGCAUAUUUAUUAAACUUCCAGAUCUAAAUUGGGAGAGAAUAGCACCAAGAUCUAAAAUUUGAUCAGGAGAGUUCAAACUCUCAAAUUGAGAGAAUAGAGCUCCCAAAUCUAAAUUGAAGAGAAGAAAAAGAAAGAAGAGAAUAAUAAAACUCAAACAAAAUCAACAAGAGGAAGGGGACGUGAGACUAACUCAAAUCCUCUCCCAUAGCUAAAGGUUAAAGAAGAAGAUAGAAAGAAAAGAGAGGGAGAGAGAAAAGAUUUUUCCACUCUCGGAAGCAAUAAAAACAUAUUCAUUCGCAAUAGAGGCUACUUAAUCUUUUGCAAAAAGGUGAAAGGGUUGUUGUCUUCACGAUGUAUUCACGUUCACUCACCUAAGCAGUUAAUAGGACAUUGUCACGAUGUAUUCCAUCGAAGAGAGUGGAGAAAAGUAAUAAAUUUAUUGUAUGGUGCCAGUUCACUCCUAUACCUUUUGCUUUGGCUAGUUUCUUUUUGACAAUUUGUGAAUAUAAUCAUUUUGAUUUAUGUUGGCUGACAAGCAUUGACAAUUUGCUUUUUCUUUUAUUUUUUUAUAAUUUUUGUUUUAUUUUCCUAUUCUUUCUACUUCUUUUUCCCUUCUCCCUCUGCUAGUCAAUGAGCCUCGGUAAUGGCUAGUGACUAGCCAUAUGCAAGGGCCAAUGAGGUUCAAUCUUGUUAGCUGCAGUUGAGGCUUGACCUUGCUUGAGGCUAGCAAGGUUGAUCCUCACCGAAGGCUAGCGACCACCAAAGGCAGAAAGGAAAAUAAAAUUGAUUUUAAAAAAUUAUUCACGUGAUUACCAACCGUCCUACAGUCAUGUCACAUAGGAUAACUAGCUUUUAUGUCAGUGAUUGCCAAAUAAAAUUAGCUAGAAAAAUUAGAUUAGUAAAUCAUUAAAAAGUUUAAGAUCGAUAAAUUUAUAACUUUUUGGAAAAUUUUCCGGGCCUCUAAUGUAGUAUGAAAAAUGGCUAAUUCACCCGCUUUUCCUUCGACCUGGCAAAAUUGUUAUUUUUCAUCACAAUAAGAUGGCUAUUUGGAAAGUGACAGAGAGAAGCCACGGCCCCCAGUGGGAGAGAUUGAGGGGAUCGCGAUGUUCUUAGCCUUAAACACGGCCUUGUUCUUAGUCAAGGUGCUUUCAGAGAAUAAAUGAAUUUGAGAUGGAACCCGUAAGUCCCCUAUUUGAGAAUAAACAAUGUCGACCAUAGUUAGGAAUUUUCAAAAAGUGAAAUACAAAGCUGAUCAAGAUGACUGGUUGAUAUGACUGAUAGGUUAUACUAUUUAGAUUUAAGAUCCGUAAAUGGUGGGCUUUCUCCCUCAACCUUGCAUUCUGGAAACCUCGAACAGGAAGGAAUAUGGGAAUGCAUAACGCAUCAAACAUGUCUGGUUUAGGUCGAUUAAAAUUCCAUUUGACAUUACCUCAAACAAUUUCGAUAUUUGCCUAUGAACUUUAUUAAAUAACAACUAGCUAAAAUUCUCGAACGGAAAUUUGAGGAACAACUCGGGGCCAAUGGGCCCAUGCAUCACGGGCUCCACAGAAGUACCAUUAUUUGCCAUUCCAUCGAGAAGUGGAAAAAAGCAAAGCGAAAGAUGCAGAAAACGUAGAAAAUAGCAACGCACAUGGAACAUUUCAAAAAUAAUUGAACGACACGUGUCUAGGUGAGAUAGGUCCAAUCCCACUAUAAAUUAUCGUGACUCCGCCUUCUCACCAUGCAAGAACCGUAGAAAACAUGUCUCCGAGAAAGAUCCUUUUGCUUUUCCUGCUUAUGGUGGCGCUCACCACAGCCGCUCUUGCCGAUCAUGGCCCUCCGCAUAAGCCUCCCCAUAAGCCGCCGCAUAAGCCGCCUGCAAUGGAGGAAAGCACCACCCUUGAUGAAACCCUUACCACCUUGGAUGGUGGCAAGAAGAAACCGCCACCCAAAAAGAAACCUCCAAUGGAAGAAACCGCCACCCUUGAUGAGGAAACCCUGACCACCUUGGACGGUGGCAAGCCUCCCAAGAAGAAGCCUCCGCCGAUAAAGCCACCACCAAAGCACAAGCCUCCAACGGGUGUUGAGGACGCCCACAAGCCACCUGGUGGUGGUGGCCACAAGCCACCUGGUGGUGGUGGCCAUAGGCCACCACCUUUGAACUAAUCAUAAGUAGCCAAGUUCGUCUCAUGGCAUAUGCAGAACGUGGUGUACUAGAAUAAGAGCUUGGAUUCAAUCAGUUGGUCAUGCUUACUGCAAUUUCGUGAUAUCGAUAUCAUGUUGUCAUGUAAUUCGUAGUCAUGCGGUCUAGCCAGCUAGAUUUUGGGCAAGUUAAUGUGCAUGAGACGUGUAUCCAUCUUCUGAGCAUUGGAGACUUGAAUAUGAGUGGUUCGCUCUUUAUGUUAUUAACUUCUCCUUUCACAUAAUUGUAGGUGUUUCAUAGCAGUGAAAUGGGCACAUGCCAGUCAUUGA
rnacentral:lncRNA from 1 species